GGAACUGGGGGUUGUGGAGAAGUUGACCAAAAGGACAGCAGCAGGGAGUACCAGGAAACUGCAAGACUGAACAGUGCUUUAUCUAGGGGAGAGAAAUAGCUGAUUUGAAUGUGGUCUCCAAUCCCAGCUUAUUGAUGAAUCUACUUACUGAUUUCCAUAAUGGUUAUACCAGCCUGCACACCAUAUUGUACUGCUAGUGUGACAACCUGAAAGAAAGGAAGAGGGCUCUGGAAUGGGGAACUUGUGACCUACACUGGAGGAAGACCAGAAAAUUCUUUCUUGAGCUGCUUCAGGAGAGAACAGUAGAAGACUACCAAGAUCUUUUUUCUGCUAUUCCCUCCAGUGCGUUGAGCUUUAAUGCUCAGUAUGUAUAGGAGCUAUUUCUUCUCCUCUA